GAUGAACGCUGGCGGCGUGCCUAAUACAUGCAAGUCGAGCGAACAGACGAGGAGCUUGCUCCUCUGACGUUAGCGGCGGACGGGUGAGUAACACGUGGAUAACCUACCUAUAAGACUGGGAUAACUUCGGGAAACCGGAGCUAAUACCGGAUAAUAUAUUGAACCGCAUGGUUCAAUAGUGAAAGACGGUUUUGCUGUCACUUAUAGAUGGAUCCGCGCCGCAUUAGCUAGUUGGUAAGGUAACGGCUUACCAAGGCAACGAUGCGUAGCCGACCUGAGAGGGUGAUCGGCCACACUGGAACUGAGGCACGGUCCAGACUCCUACGGGAGGCAGCAGUAGGGAAUCUGCCGCAAUGGGCGAAAGCCUGACGGAGCAACGCCGCGUGAGUGAUGAAGGUCUUCGGAUCGUAAAACUCUGUUAUUAGGGAAGAACAAAUGUGUAAGUAACUAUGCACGUCUUGACGGUACCUAAUCAGAAAGCCACGGCUAACUACGUG
rnacentral:rRNA from 1 species